rnacentral:lncRNA from 1 species
AUGCAAUGGCAAAACCGAAAAGGUCUGGGGAUAUGGGAAAAUACCAUGCAGACGGCCAUCUCAGAGACCCUGUCUUUCCAGUGGCAAAAGGUUCAGUUCCUUCGGAGGGGCGUGCCACUCCCCCUCUCCCUCACCCAGGGGACCACCACCCCAGGAACAGGAAGAACCGUGGCCCCUCCGCGGGCACAUCUCAACUGGGGAAGAAAACACAAUGUCGCUCCUUAUUUCUGCGUACAAAAGGACUCUGCGCCCUCCUCCUCGAACUGCCGCCCCGGCCACCUCCUAACUUGCAAGAAGGUGGGCAACGCGCCAUAUUCCAGGGUCCCCCAGUCUACCUGGGUAACAAGCCCACACCACCCGGCAGGAGGGAAGCUUCGGAGGUCGCCCAAACAGCCAGCCUCCUUUCCCGCAGGAGACAGCGGCUCCCGCGCCCCAGCCCGGCCCCGCCGCGCCGCCCGCCCGCGGACGAGAGCCGGGAAGGGCCGAGGGGGCGAGCAGAGAGCCGCGGCUCCGGUCCCGCGCAGCCCGCCCACCUCCCGCUCCCGGGCCCGGCGCACUCUCCCGCGCCUCCCGCUCCCGAGCCGCGGGAAGGCCGGGCCCCGGGUUCCACGGCGGGGAGGAGGCCGCGGCCCCGAGAGCCCCAGGCGGCUAGGGAGGCCGGAACCCUGGGGCUCUCGGGAGGGCAGCGCCUCCCUCCCGAGCCCGCCAGGACGCCUGGGGCCUAGUGCGGCCUGCGCAUCCUCGGGGUGGCGGUUUGGCUGGGCCGGGCCGGGGCCCCCCGCCCGAGGCGGGCCGAAUCCGGCGGGGGCCCAGGCCCGGAGCCGGGGGCGGCAGGGUGCCGGCUGCGGGGCGGGCCGGCCGGCCGGCGGGCGGGCGGCGUGUUGCGGCUGCGCCGGGGCUGAAAUAGCUGGAGAUUGCGCGGUAGGGCACUCACCUCAGAGCGGCUGCGCUACCGUGGGCCUGCGCCGUGGAGACUGCGACCGCGCCGGCUCCUCGCAGCCUCCUGCCACCAGCGGCAAUGGCGAGCGCUGCCGCUUCUGCCGCCGCCGCCGCCGCCGAGGAGGGGGAGGGGAGGGAGAGGGCACGCACGCGACGCACGGCCCGGCUUCCCCGCCCGGCCGCCGCCAUGAUGAGGAGGUCGGUGCUGCUGCUCUGCAGGCAGGCCGCGGAGAGGGCUCGCGACGAGGGCUCGGGCCUCCCCCGCCGGCGCGUUGCGUGCACGGAGCGCUUCAGAGGUUUGGUGGAGGCCAGAACCUCAAAAGCAACGGGAUUAGCACAACGCGGACACCCAGGAGAAGCGGUGCAAGCGGGCCCAAAAUGGUUGCUGAUUAG